rnacentral:tRNA from 1 species
GCCCUCGUAGCUCAGGUGGAUAGAGCACAGGAUUCCUAAUCCUGGGGCCGUAGGUUCGAGUCCUGCCGGGGGCACCA